rnacentral:rRNA from 1 species
UCGAACGCGAAAAGGGCUUCGGCUCUUAGUAGAGUGGCGAACGGGUGGGUAACACGUGGGUGACCUACCUUCGAAUGGGGGAUAACGUCCCGAAAGGGACGCUAAUACCGCAUAACAUCCUGCUUUUGAACAGGUGGAGAUCAAAGCCGGGGAUCGCAAGACCUGGCGUUUGAAGAGGGGCCCGCGUCUGAUUAGCUAGUUGGUGAGGUAACGGCCCACCAAGGCGACGAUCAGUAUCCGGCCUGAGAGGGCGGACGGACACACUGGGACUGAGACACGGCCCAGACUCCUACGGGAGGCAGCAGUGGGGAAUUGUUCGCAAUGGGCGCAAGCCUGACGACGCAACGCCGCGUGGAGGAUGAAGGUCUUCGGAUUGUAAACUCCUGUUGCUCGGGACGAAAAGCUUCGACCUAACACGUCGAAGUCUGACGGUACCGGGUGAGGAAGCCCCGGCUAACUCUGUGCCAGCAGCCGCGGUAAUACAGAGGGGGCAAGCGUUGUUCGGAAUUACUGGGCGUAAAGGGCGCGUAGGCGGCCCGCUAAGUCGAACGUGAAAUCCCCGGGCUCAACCCGGGAACUGCGUCCGAUACUGGCAGGCUUGAAUCCGGGAGAGGGAUGCGGAAUUCCAGGUGUAGCGGUGAAAUGCGUAGAUAUCUGGAGGAACACCGGUGGCGAAGGCGGCAUCCUGGGCCGGUAUUGACGCUGAGGCGCGAAAGCCAGGGGAGCAAACGGGAUUAGAUACCCCGGUAGUCCUGGCCCUA